rnacentral:rRNA from 1 species
AGAGUUUGAUCAUGGCUCAGAACGAACGCUGGCGGCGUGCUUAACACAUGCAAGUCGCGUGCGCAGUUUCCGUAGCAAUACGGGGAUGGGCGCACGGCGCACGGGUGCGUAACACGUGGGCAAUCUGCCCUCCGAUGGGGAAUACCCCCGCGAAAGCGGGACUAAUUCCGCAUAACAUUCCUUGGAUUAACUUUCGAGGAUUCAAAGCAGCAAUGCGUCGGAGGAGGAGCCCGCGCCCGAUUAGCUAGUUGGUGAGGUAACGGCUCACCAAGGCAAUGAUCGGUAGCUGGUCUGAGAGGAUGGCCAGCCACACUGGAACUGAGACACGGUCCAGACUCCUACGGGAGGCAGCAGUGGGGAAUCUUGCACAAUGGGCGAAAGCCUGAUGCAGCGACGCCGCGUGGGGGAUGAAGCUUUUCGGAGUGUAAACCCCUUUCGACUGGGACGAAUGCCUCGCAAGAGGAGUGACGGUACCAGUAUAAGAAGCCCCGGCUAACUACGUGCCAGCAGCCACGGUAAGACGUAGGGGGCCAGCGUUGUUCGGAAUUACUGGGUGUAAAGGGUUCGUAGGCGGUGUGGCAAGUCGGGAGUGAAAUCUCUGGGCUCAACCCAGAGACUGCUUCCGAAACUGCUGUGCUUGAGUGUGAGAGAGGCUCGUGGAAUUGCAGGUAGCGGUGAAAUGCGUAGAUAUCUGCAGGAACACCCGUGGCGAAAGCGGCGAGCUGGAUCACUACUGACGCUGAGGAACGAAAGCUAGGGGAGCAAACAGGAUUAGAUACCCCAGUAGUCC